rnacentral:rRNA from 1 species
UACGGGGGGAGCAAGCGUUGUUCGGAUUUACUGGGCGUAAAGGGCGCGUAGGCGGCCUCCGCAGGUCGACUGUGAAAUCUCCGGGCUUAACCCGGAACGGUCAGCCGAUACUGCGGGGCUAGAGUGCAGAAGGGGCAACUGGAAUUCUCGGUGUAGCGGUGAAAUGCGUAGAUAUCGAGAGGAACACCUGCGGCGAAGGCGGGUUGCUGGGCUGACACUGACGCUGAUGCGCGAAAGCUAGGGGAGCAAACAGG